rnacentral:rRNA from 1 species
AUGCUUCUGCUUGGUCCUGUGGGUCAUCAGAAUCAGGUCAUCACAAAGAUUGGAGCCCAAGUUAUGAAUUGUAGGAGGGAUGUUCUUGAAGAUGAGGUCAUUCCUCUGUUUCCUGGCAUAUAUGAUAAUAAUUAUACUAAAGGAGGUCAUUUCUUGUCAGUCCUUCAUCCAAAUAUUACAUUAGCCCAUGAAUCUUUGAGAAUUAAAUGGAACCUCGCGUAUGUUCGAACCCAGAUAGGUGAAGGAUGCACGGAUGCAGAAACCCCUACCGCUCAUCUUGUUUCAUCUUGCUUUCCAGAUUCAUCAUCUUGA